CUAUCUUUGUCCUGCAUUGGUUUGCAACUCUCAUACGAGGGAAGCGAUUAAAAGGGAAUCAGGUGUAAAUCCUGAACAGUCCCGCUGCUGUAAGUUCCAUAUAUUAUGUUGUGAGCAACUGAACUCAUGAGCCACUGGAUAAUUUUCCGGGAAGGCGUUCACAACAGGAAUAAGUCAGAAGACCUGCCAUGUAACCUAUUUCACU
rnacentral:ncRNA from 2 species